UAAGAUAGUGAUGAAAAGCUUAUGAAAUUUACAUUGAUGUACAAAUUACGAAAAAUGUUAAUGAGAUAAAGUUGAUGUCAGGUUGUACGUCCCCUCUUAAGUUUAAAUUUUUAUACUAUUUUCAUAUUAAUAAAUAUUUUACCACGCGAUGGUUUGAGAGAAAUAAAAAACGAAAAGACAAGAGGGUCGUAUGGAGAACUGGGUAAGAAAUCAGAAUAGAGUCCGACCAUAUCAACAAAGCAAGGAAUUAUUGUAUGAUAUUAUACAUAAUGGCUAAGAUCAAAGAAAAAGUAGUGUAAUAACCUCAAACUCUAGGAUAAGAGUGGCGAAAGCCAACCAUCCAAUACUCGACUAGACUAGGAAAGCAAAUUCUGUUCAAUCUAACGUACCGCACAUGGAACUGUUAUCAGUUGGACUCGGGAUUCGGACCGCUAGGGACUUCAUGUGCAGCUGUCUUAAAUUCUUGAUUUGUGGUUUCUCUUGGAUGCAACUUCAUGGUGAAUUGCUUAUUUGGUGUAGAGUUCAGAAGGAUUCUUCCUGUUGAUGCUAAGGGACCCUCUAGUGUCACUGAAAAGUCGAGACGACGAGCCGAGGCCGGAGAAAUCAAGAUUAGUAGAAGAAAAAUGGAAACUUUUGCGAGAAUUUGCCAGAGUUUGUGAGCAUUUUUGCUGGUUUUUGCCAUGAAAAAGUAGCCAAGAUAAUCCAACCCCCACUACCCUCAGAAUUGAAAUCAAUAUCCAUGUACAAACUGGAUUUCUCCAAGUUUGAAACAAUGGAAAUACAAGAGAACAAGCAAAGAAAGAACAAUUUUUUUUAAUAGCUUCCUUUGUAAGAGAUUUAUAAAGAAGAUCACGUGACUACUUUUUGUAAACUUGACGUGUUGUCCCUCUCUCAUUCUUUU
rnacentral:lncRNA from 1 species